rnacentral:rRNA from 1 species
AUUGAACGCUGGCGGCAGGCUUAACACAUGCAAGUCGAGCGAGGGGCGGACGGGUGAGUAAUGUCGGGGAACUUGCCUAAUGGCGGGGGAUAACUACUGGAAACGGUGGCUAAUACCGCAUACCAUCAGAUGGGCCCAGAUGGGAUUAGCUAGUGGGUGGGGUAAUGGCUCACCAAGGCCACGAUCCCUAGCUGGUCGUAGAGGAUGACCAGCCACACUGGGACUGAGACACGGCCCAGACUCCUACGGGAGGCAGCAGUGGGGAAUAUUGCACAAUGGGCGCAAGCCUGAUGCAGCCAUCCCGCGUGUAUGAAGAAGGCCUUAGGGUUGUAAAGUACUUUCAGCGGGGAGGCGUUACCCGCAGAAGAAGCACCGGCUAACUCCGUGCCAGCAGCCGCGGUAAUAC